rnacentral:pre_miRNA from 1 species
AGUAGAAUUGCUUGGUCAUAUGGUAACUCUAUGUUUAACUAUUUAAGAAACUGCCAAAUUGUUUUCCAAAGUAGCUAUACCUUUUUGUAUUCCCACCAGCAAU